rnacentral:rRNA from 1 species
AUACGGAGGAUGCGAGCGUUAUCCGGAUUUAUUGGGUUUAAAGGGUGCGUAGGCGGCCUUGUAAGUCAGCGGUGAAAUUUUGCAGCUUAACUGUAAAAGUGCCGUUGAUACUGUGAGGCUAGGAUUUGGUUGCUGUGGGUGGAAUGUGUGGUGUAGCGGUGAAAUGCUUAGAGAUCACACAGAAUAUCGAUUGCGAAGGCAGCUCACAAAGCCAAGAUUGACGCUGAGGCACGAAAGUGUGGGGAUCAAACAGGAUUAGAUACCCUGGUAGUCCACACUGUAAACGAUGAUAACUCGCUGUCGGCGAUAUACAGUCGGUGGCCAAGCGAAAGCGAUAAGUUAUCCACCUGGGGAGUACGACCGCAAGGUUGAAACUCAAAUGAAUUGGCGGGG